AACAUUACUUUUCAUCAUGUAAGUUCCUGUUGUAUGUUUCUUUACUUUACUUUUAUUUUUUUUUUCCAGGAAUCGACAUGAGCAUGUGUACCUUUUAAAAUCUCAUUGACAACUAGAUAUUAUCAAGUGUCAGCAAAACUGCCUGCUUCCUCAGGUGCUAAACAACUGAUGUUUGGAUGGGAAUCUUCACAUGUUCACCUUUUGCAACUGGGUACCAUAUGUGGCUUUCAGGAUGGAUGGGAAUAUAAAGAGGUCUGUGAGCCACGUGAUUUCUUACUUUUAGAAAUUCAUCUCUUUAACUUGGAUGAUUCUGUUCAGAAAUCCAUUCAAUUCAUUAAGCCCAAGUAGAAAUUGAUGAAGAAGGAAUAUGAAACUGACAAGAUCAUGAUGUUUCCUUAAGAGUUUAAACUAGUGGUACAAGUGUUGCUUGAGAAUAAUUUGCUUAGCCAUGAAAUAUUGAAGAGGAAAUUGGAAUUAUUAGGAAGGUCAUAUAUAAAUAAAUCUAAAAGAAUUUUACCUUGAACAUCUCUACUAUUGAUUUUUAGAGAAAACAAAGCAAGCAUCAUGAAUUGAUUUGCAGUGUUGCAAAUGAUGUCUGUAUUGACCAGUUUUAGUAGUUCUCUCAUAAGAAAAUAACAAGAAGAUAGUCUUAAUAUUUAGAGGGAAAGUGACAGUUAUUACCUUCAAGACAGACACCACAGGAACAGGAUCUCUCUCUCUCUCUCUCUCUCUCUCUCUCUCUCUCUCUCUCUCUCUUUCUUUCUCCUGCCCCCUCCUCUUCCUUCCCUCCCUCCCCUCGAACAGCUAUUCGAAUAUGUAACACUGACAAUCUACAGAAUCAAGGGAUCUCAUGGUGAGGUUGUUCUGAUAUUAAAGGGAAGAUAAAGAAAUUUUUUUUCG